rnacentral:rRNA from 1 species
AAUCGUAACAAGGUUUCCGUAGGUGAACCUGCGGAAGGAUCAUUAUCCAUCUCAAACCAGGUGCGGUCGCGGCCCCCGGGGGCUUGCUCCCGGGUGGUAGGGGUAACACCCUCACGCGCCGCCUGCCUGUACCCUCUUUUUACGAGCACCUUUCGUUCUCCUUCGGCGGGGCAACCUGCCGCUGGAACCAAAACAAAACCUUUUUUGCAUCUAGCAUUACCUGUUCUGAUACAAAUAAUCGUUACAACUUUCAACAAUGGAUCUCUUGGCUCUGGCAUCGAUGAAGAACGCAGCGAAAUGCGAUAAGUAGUGUGAAUUGCAGAAUUCAGUGAAUCAUCGAAUCUUUGAACGCACAUUGCGCCCCUUGGUAUUCCAUGGGGCAUGCCUGUUCGAGCGUCAUCUACACCCUCAAGCUCUGCUUGGUGUUGGGCGUCUGUCCCGCCUCUGCGCGCGGACUCGCCCCAAAUUCAUUGGCAGCGGUCUUUGCCUCCUCUCGCGCAGCACAAUUGCGUCUGCGGGGGGGCGUGGCCCGCGUCCACGAAGCAACAUUACCGUCUUUGACCUCGGAUCAGGUAGGGAUACCCGCUGAACUUAA